rnacentral:rRNA from 1 species
UCCGGUUGAUCCUGCCGGUCCCGACCGCUAUCGGGGUGGGGCUAAGCCAUGGGAGUCGUACGCCCCGCCGCUGCGGGGCGUGGCGGACGGCUGAGUAACACGUGGCUAACCUACCCUCGGGAGGGGGAUAACACCGGGAAACUGGUGCUAAUCCCCCAUAGAGGAGGGGGCCUGGAAGGGUCCCUCCUCGAAAAGGUGUGGCGGGGGUUAACGCUGCCGCACCGCCCGAGGAUGGGGCUACGGCCCAUUAGGUAGUUGGCGGGGUAACGGCCCGCCAAGCCGAUAAUGGGUAGGGGCCGUGAGAGCGGGAGCCCCCAGAUGGGCACUGAGACAAGGGCCCAGGCCCUACGGGGCGCACCAGGCGCGAAACCUCCGCAAUGCGGGAAACCGUGACGGGGCCACCCCGAGUGCCCCCUUACGGGGGCUUUUCCCCGCUGUAGGAAGGCGGGGGAAUAAGCGGGGGGCAAGUCUGGUGUCAGCCGCCGCGGUAAUACCAGCCCCGCGAGUGGUCGGGACGAUUAUUGGGCCUAAAGCGCCCGUAGCCGGCUCGACAAGUCUCCUCCUAAAUCCUCGGGCUCAACCCGAGGAUUGGAGGAGAUACUGUCGAGCUAGGGGGUGGGAGAGUCCGAGGGUACUCCCGGGGUAGGGGCGAAAUCCUAUAAUCCCGGGAGGACCACCAGUGGCGAAGGCGCUCGGCUGGAACACGCCCGACGGUGAGGGGCGAAAGCCGGGGGAGCGAACCGGAUUAGAUACCCGGGUAGUCCCGGCUGUAAACGAUGCGGGCUAGGUGUUGGGUGGGCCUAGAGCCCACCCAGUGCCGCAGGGAAGCCGUUAAGCCCGCCGCCUGGGGAGUACGGCCGCAAGGCUGAAACUCAAAGGAAUUGGCGGGGGAGCACCACAAGGGGUGGAGCCUGCGGUUCAAUUGGAGUCAACGCCGGA